rnacentral:rRNA from 1 species
UUCUGUCUUCGGAUGGAGGUUUCCUAGUGGCGAACGGGUGAGUAACGCGUUGGUGACCUGCCCCGAAGUGGGGGAUAACAGUUCGAAAGGACUGCUAAUACCUCAUGUGAUCAGCUGGAUUAGAUGCCUACUGAUUAAAGGCGAAAGCCGCUUUGGGAGGGGCCUGCGUCCCAUCAGCUAGUUGGUAGGGUAAUGGCCUACCAAGGCGAUGACGGGUAGGGGACCUGAGAGGGUGGCCCCCCACACUGGCACUGAAACACGGGCCAGACACCUACGGGUGGCAGCAGUAGGGAAUAUUGGACAAUGGGCGAAAGCCUGAUCCAGCAACGCCGCGUGCGCGAUGACGGCCUUCGGGUUGUAAAGCGCUUUUAGAGGAGAUGAGAAAGGACAGUAUCCUCAGGAUAAGCCUCGGCGAACUACGUGCCAGCAGCCGCGGUAAAACGUAGGAGGCUAGCGUUAUCCGGAUUUAUUGGGCGUAAAGCGCGUGCAGGCGGUUUGAUAAGUUGGAUGUGAAAUCUCCCGGCUUAACUGGGAGCGGUCGUUCAAAACUAUCAGACUAGAGAAUGGGAGAGGAAGGUGGAAUUCCGGGUGUAGUGGUGAAAUGCGUAGAUAUCCGGAGGAACACCAGUGGCGAAAGCGGCCUUCUAGACCAUUUCUGACGCUAAGACGCGAAAGCUAGGGUGGCAAACGGGAUUAGAGACCCCGGUAGUCCUAGCCGUAAACGAUGUAGACUUGGCGUUGGCGGAGUUAAAUCUGCCAGUGCCGAAGCU